AUGGAUGUUCUUAUUCAUUGGGAUUUCAAUCCCGGCCUCUCGGUUGUGGAUCAGGUUUGUAGGCAUUUUUGUUCUACGGUUCAUUUCUCUCCCACCUCAAACUCCAAGGAAUUUUUCUUGGUGGUCACAUUCUCUCCGGCUUCUUUCCCUCUCUCCGUUUCUUCUGUUGGAUUGGCUCUCCAAUAUUGUAUUGGU
rnacentral:rRNA from 1 species